GAUGAACGCUGGCGGCGUGCCUAAUACAUGCAAGUCGAGCGAACGGACGAGAAGCUUGCUUCUCUGAUGUUAGCGGCGGACGGGUGAGUAACACGUGGAUAACCUACCUAUAAGACUGGGAUAACUUCGGGAAACCGGAGCUAAUACCGGAUAAUAUUUUGAACCGCAUGGUUCAAAAGUGAAAGACGGUCUUGCUGUCACUUAUAGAUGGAUCCGCGCUGCAUUAGCUAGUUGGUAAGGUAACGGCUUACCAAGGCAACGAUGCAUAGCCGACCUGAGAGGGUGAUCGGCCACACUGGAACUGAGACACGGUCCAGACUCCUACGGGAGGCAGCAGUAGGGAAUCUUCCGCAAAGGGCGAAAGCCUGACGGAGCAACGCCGCGUGAGUGAUGAAGGUCUUCGGAUCGUAAAACUCUGUUAUUAGGGAAGAACAUAUGUGUAAGUAACUGUGCACAUCUUGACGGUACCUAAUCAGAAAGCCUCGGCUAACUACGUG
rnacentral:rRNA from 1 species